rnacentral:rRNA from 1 species
UACGGGGGGGGGCAAGCGUUGUCCGGAAUUACUGGGCGUAAAGAGCUCGUAGGCGGUUUGUCGCGUCGUCCGUGAAAACUUGGGGCUCAACCCCAAGCUUGCGGGCGAUACGGGCAGACUUGAGUACUGCAGGGGAGACUGGAAUUCCUGGUGUAGCGGUGAAAUGCGCAGAUAUCAGGAGGAACACCGGUGGCGAAGGCGGGUCUCUGGGCAGUAACUGACGCUGAGGAGCGAAAGCGUGGGUAGCAAACAGG